rnacentral:tRNA from 1 species
UUUUUGUUAAUUUAAACUAAAAUAUUUAGUUGCAAACUAAAAAAUAUCUAUUACAAAAUU